UUGCCUUGUUGGCAACAUUGUGAGAUCAUGACCAAGCAUGACAAGAAUGGAGGCUCGUCAACCACCUACCAGCACACCUAUCAUGACCGAUGAUGAGACGCUGAAGGUUACGAGAGAUGAUGCUGGAGAGAUGCCCUUCCUGUAGGUCUGCACAUA